rnacentral:misc_RNA from 1 species
AUGAAGAACGCAGCGAAAUGCGAUAAGUAGUGUGAAUUGCAGAAUUCAGUGAAUCAUCGAAUCUUUGAACGCACAUUGCGCCCCUUGGUAUCCCGAGGGGCAUGCCUGUUCGAGCGUCAUUUCACCACUCAAGCCUGGCUUGGUGUUGGGCGACGUCCCCUUUGGGGACGCGCCUCGAAACGCUCGGCGGCGUGGCACCGGCUUUAAGCGUAGCAGAAUCUUUCGCUUUGGAAGUCGGGGCCCCGUCUGCCGGAAGACCUACUCGCAAGGUUGACCUCGGAUCAGGCAGGGAUACCCGCUGAACUUAAGCAUAUCAAUAAGCGGAGGA